GACAGCAUGGUGUAGUGGUUUGAGCAUUGGACUAUGACUCUGGAGACCAGGGUUUGAUUCCCUGCUCAGCCA